GACGAACGCUGGCGGCGUGCUUAACACAUGCAAGUCGAACGAGAACCUAUGGAACGAGGAUUCGUCCAAGUGAAAUAGAGGACAGUGGCGGACGGGUGAGUAACGCGUGAGGAACCUGCCUUUCAGAGGGGGACAACAGUUGGAAACGACUGCUAAUACCGCAUAAUAUAUAGAUGUCGCAUGGCAUUUAUAUCAAAGAUUUAUCGCUGAAAGAUGGCCUCGCGUCUGAUUAGCUAGUUGGUGAGGUAACGGCCCACCAAGGAGACGAUCAGUGGCCGGACUGAUAGGUUGAUCGGCCACAUUGGAACUGAGAUACGGCCCAGACCCCUACGAGAGGCAGCAGUGGGGAAUAUUGGGCAAUGGGCGCAAGCCUGACCCAGCAACGCCGCGUGAAGGAAGAAGGCUUUCGGGUCGUAAACUUCUUUUGUCAGGGACGAGUAGAAGACGGUACCUGACGAAUAAGCCACGGCUAACUACGUGCCAGCCGCCGCCGUAA
rnacentral:rRNA from 1 species